CGGACGGGUGAGUAACACGUGGGUAACCUACCUAUGAGACUGGGACAACUUCGGGAAACCGGAGCUAAUACCGGAUAAGAUAUCGAACCGCAUGGUUCGAUAGUGAAAGAUGGUUUUGCUAUCACUUAUAGAUGGACCCGCGCCGUAUUAGCUAGUUGGUGAGGUAACGGCUCACCAAGGCAACGAUACGUAGCCGACCUGAGAGGGUGAUCGGCCACACUGGAACUGAGACACGGUCCAGACUCCUACGGGAGGCAGCAGAA
rnacentral:rRNA from 1 species